rnacentral:RNase_P_RNA from 1 species
ACAGAAAUGAGGUCUGUCGCCGGGCAUCCGUUCACCGGAUGUCAGGAGGAAAGUCCGGGCAACACAGAGCAUCGCGUUUCCUAACGGGAAGCCGGCGGCGACGUCGGGGCGAUAUGUGACAGAAAACAACCGCCGCAUAUUGCGGCAAGGGUGAAAAGGCGGGGUAAGAGCCCACCGGCUCCGUUGGCGACAGCGGAGGCCGCACAUCCCGCGAGUUGCAAGGCCAAAUAUACCGGCAGCCAAGGAUUGCUCGUCCAUUGCCGGGGGGUAGGCUGCUGAAGCCGUCGGGAAACCGGCCGGCUUAGAUAAAUGACAGACACCCGCACUUCGUGUGCAGGCACAUAACCCGGCUUAUAUCAUCUCUGUCAAU